UUUUCUUGCAAAAAUGUACCAUUUUAACUAUGUUCUAAGUUUCUUGUUCUGAAAAGAUGGCUGUGUAUAGUAAGAUAAAAAGGCAACUUACUUACCUUUUUACAGCACACUUGGGAAAAAACAAAAACUUUUGGCAUUUUGUUUUCAAAGUUCACUUUUUUACAUGCACGGUACUAUCAGAAUAAUCAAUUUAAAAUCUCCGUAUUUAAAUUUAUUAGAUUAUUACGUACUAAAGAUUUCUAUCGCCAGACAACUACUUCACAACUAAAAAAAUUAGGACGUUUAAAAUACACUUGACGAAGACCGCUAGAAGAUAAUCUAAGGAUCUCGGAAAAUUACUGAUGUGUAUUACGUCUAGUAAAAAUAUAACAAAAAUAAAAUUGAAAAUAUCAACAGUGGAAAACAACUCGAUAAAUACUAGCUCUAAAUUAUAUGAAAGCUCUCAGGAACACACCGAAACCAGUGGUACUGCUAGAAGGUACCACUCAGAGCAAUGUAUAGAUGACACAAGCGAGGACGAGAGACCCUUUGGGGGAAAAAGUUCCAAGUUCCAAGGGCUGCUGAAUUUCCAAGUUUGAUGAACUUCUCCCAAUUAGUACUCCGCUGUGUUCUGCUGCUUACAUAGAUGAGUAUAAUUAUAUGCAACCAAGUCAGUUCUCGGAGAUCUGAGACUUCAUCUAGAUUUUACCUUGAGAUAGAGCCUUGGGGAUACCGCUAUGGGAAAACUAAACAACAACGUUAUCAAUGUUGGUAGUUCCAGUGGCAAUGAGAGUGACAGUGACCUCAAGAGGAACAAAACGUGUCUAAAUCUCCAAUUAUGACAGUGUUUUAUCUGAUUUGUACUUCUAGAUUUAAUAAUAAAGUGUAUUUGUUUUCUAA